rnacentral:misc_RNA from 1 species
GUCGGAUGCAACAGGGCAAUCGUAUAGAAAGGUCAAGUUUGUAUAGCCAGAGGCAUAAUCGAAGAGGGAGUAAUCCAGAGUGGUGUUAACCAAAUCAACAGGACAAGUGGAUUUCAUGAUAUCCUCCCUCAGAAUUCUUAUCGUUUGGGUUGUUGGAAGUACGUUUAAAACUCGAUACUUGAUGUUUUCGAUUUCCAUUGUAGU